rnacentral:rRNA from 1 species
AAAUUGAAGAGUUUGAUCAUGGCUCAGAUUGAACGCUGGCGGCAGGCCUAACACAUGCAAGUCGAACGGUAACAGGAAGCAGCUUGCUGCUUCGCUGACGAGUGGCGGACGGGUGAGUAAUGUCUGGGAAACUGCCUGAUGGAGGGGGAUAACUACUGGAAACGGUGGCUAAUACCGCAUAACGUCGCAAGACCAAAGAGGGGGACCUUCGGGCCUCUUGCCAUCAGAUGUGCCCAGAUGGGAUUAGCUUGUUGGUGAGGUAAUGGCUCACCAAGGCGACGAUCCCUAGCUGGUCUG